UACGGAGGGUGCAAGCGUUAUCCGGAUUCACUGGGUUUAAAGGGUGCGUAGGUGGGUUGGUAAGUCAGUGGUGAAAUCCCCGAGCUUAACUUGGGAACUGCCAUUGAUACUAUCAGUCUUGAAUACUGUGGAGGUCAGCGGAAUAUGUCAUGUAGCGGUGAAAUGCUUAGAUAUGACAUAGAACACCGAUAGCGAAGGCAGCUUGCUACACAAUUAUUGACACUGAGGCUCGAAAGCGUGGGGAUCAAACAGG
rnacentral:rRNA from 1 species